rnacentral:misc_RNA from 1 species
CCUGAAGAUACCUUCCGGCGCAGUGUCCACACAGAUUGUCUGAUAAAAAAGUAACGAGCAGAAAAACCUCUACAGGCUUGUAGCUCAGGUGGUUAGAGCGCACCCCUGAUAAGGGUGAGGUCGGUGGUUCAAGUCCACUCAGGCCUACCAAAUUUCUUCUCAUGCUGCGUUAUGCACUCGGUCGUUUACUGUAGUAAACUUCCCUCCCGCAUGCCUUGCCUGAAAAGAAAUUGCAUUUUCUCUUUAUAAAGAAAAUGCGACUCCUCAUGAGUGGUAGAAAAAGGUUUCUGUCAGACCGUAUGGGGCUAUAGCUCAGCUGGGAGAGCGCCUGCCUUGCACGCAGGAGGUCAGCGGUUCGAUCCCGCUUAGCUCCACCAUAUGGUUUUUCUGAAUUCAAUAUUUCAGAGUGUACUGGUUAACAGUAUGCUGCGAAGUAUUAUGCUCUUUAACAAUCCGGAACAAGCUGAAAAUUGAAACGACGUGUCGUGUUCAUUCUCCGUAAUAAGAAUGAAGUUAACGACAUGUUCGAGUCUCUCAAUGCCUGCAACUGACAGACGUCUUUCGGGACGCUUGUGGGUUGUGA